CAAAAUAAUCCAGCGUUAAUGCACCAAAUCCCAUUAGAACUUUGCAUUUAAGUGCGCUUAGGCUAGAGUAGUACUGGAAUGGGUAACUGUUCGGGAGGUCCUAGUGUUUUAC
rfam:Picea glauca, whole genome shotgun sequence.